GGGGGAGGGAGAGAGUGUAGGUAGGUUUUUUAAGAUUAGUAAGAUUUCCCCGGGAGCUCCAGUUUUCUCUCACACUCCAAAGACGUACAGACAUGAAAGCACACAGGUUUCAGAACAAACCAUGUCUCAUACAAAAUUGCAGUCCACUGAUCAAAUGUCGUCAAAUUCAGAUCCAGCACAACCAUGGUUAUCUAAGAAAUAUAGUGUUUGAAAAUCAAGACUUCAAACCCAGUGCCAAUCUCAGUCCAUGGCCAGUUGAGAUCCCUGCAAUCUUGUAUGUUCCUGAGACAUGGACUAUCUGAAACGGGCAGCUCAAAAUGUUGGUAAAGUGGUGUCAAUGUUGCAACUGCGAAAUCCUCCAAAAAUCUAUGUAUAAUCACAACUGUAAUUUCUACAUUGUGAAACCAAAAUGUAUAAAAAUGGCCUUUAAUAAAAUCUGACAAUG